UACAGAGGUCUCAAGCGUUGUUCGGAUUCAUUGGGCGUAAAGGGUGCGUAGGCGGCGCGGUAAGUCGGGUGUGAAAUCUCGGAGCUUAACUCCGAAACUGCAUUCGAUACUGCCGUGCUUGAGGACUGGAGAGGAGACUGGAAUUUACGGUGUAGCGGUGAAAUGCGUAGAUAUCUGGAGGAAUACCGGUGGCGAAGGCGGCAUCCUGGACCAUUACUGACGCUGAGGCGCGAAAGCUAGGGGAGCAAACGGG
rnacentral:rRNA from 1 species